CCUACGGGCGGCAGCAGUGAGGAAUAUUGGUCAAUGGACGCAAGCCUGAACCAGCCAUGCCGCGUGCAGGAUGACGGCCCUAUGAGUUGUAAACUUCUUUUGUACGGGGGUAAACUCAGAUACGCGUAUCUGUCUGAAAGUAUCUUACGAAUAAGGAUCGGCUAACUCCGUGCCAGCAGCCGCGGUAAUACGGAGGAUUCAAGCGUUAUCCGGAUGUAUUGGGUUUAAAGGGUGCGUAGGUGGUCGGUUAAGUUAGAGGUGAAAGCCCGAGGCUCAACUGCGGAAUUGCCUUUGAUACUGUUAGGCUAGAGAGUAGUUGAGGUAGGCGGAAUGUGUGGUGUAGCGGUGAAAUGCUUAGAGAUCAUGCAGAACACCGAUUGCGAAGGCAGCUUACCAAGCUACUACUGACGUUGAGGCACGAAAGUGUGGGGAGCAAACAGGAUUAGAUACCCCGGUAGUC
rnacentral:rRNA from 1 species